AUCCGGAUGACGAGUCCCAAAUAGGACAAGACGCGCGUCCGCGAU
rfam:Schistosoma mansoni, Puerto Rico, WGS project CABG01000000 data, contig: 0111